CCGGGAGAACCUUCGGAAUUGGGAUUUAAUCCUUCCUGUCGCUCAAAUCGCGUAUAAUAGCUCCGUAAAUCGUUCAUUAGGUAUGAGUCCAUUUGAAGCCGUUCACGGAUACAAGCCUAGGAAACCAUUAGAUCUCAUCCCUAUGUCCCCACAGGCUAGAGUGUCAGUAUCAGCCGAAGCAUUUGCACAACACCUUCGUGAUUUGCACAUUGAGAUCAAUAAACAACUUGAAGCUAGUAAUGCAAAUUAUAAACUACAAGCUGAUUUACAUAAACG
rnacentral:lncRNA from 1 species